AACAAGGCGUACCUGCGGACCUGCGGAAGGAUCAUUACAAGUGACCCCGGUCUAACCACCGGGAUGUUCAUAACCCUUUGUUGUCCGACUCUGUUGCCUCCGGGGCGACCCUGCCUUCGGGCGGGGGCUCCGGGUGGACACUUCAAACUCUUGCGUAGCUUUGCAGUCUGAGUAAACUUAAUUAAUAAAUUAAAACUUUUAACAACGGAUCU
rnacentral:misc_RNA from 1 species